CAAAAAACACUACAAUACUUAUAGUAACUUUAUUUGAAACUUUUCAUUUGCAAUUUAACUUUAUUUGGUGCACAUUUGCAGAAAUAAGCUUGCACGCACAUUAUCAUCUCGUGUUUAUUCAUUACCCUUUAAAAAAAGAAAGGCAUACUUUGAUAUUCCAAUAUUUAAAAAUAAACCACGCACUCAAAAAUAUGUUUCUCAAAGGACGAUAUAGCAUCAUUCUGUCUUGAGCUAAACCACGCCCUCGUUACGAUGGUUGCGCUUACGUAACGUCAACGUCUCAGGCGGGAGAAACUGGAAGCAUUGUACUUCGGUGGGGAAAGAGGCAAGCCGUGGAAGAGCAAUCUUAAUAGUAAGUGUGCAAAGAUUGUAGUUCUUUGUUUAAGACACUUCAUCUAAAUUUGUCCUCCUAAAUGUUCAUCAUAUACGCGCAAAAAUGUGUGCAGAUGCGGCGCUUAGUGAUUAUUCACAUAAUCUCUCUUUGUUAUGUGAUAAGAGUGAAUGAAUAUUUGUGUUGCCGUAAAUCAUAUCCAUGCCCCGGGUAGCAGGAAGUAAUCGGCCCGAGCUCGGCUGCCCUUCGGCGCCUCCGGCUCCGACUCGGCAUCAACGAGUGUUAUACGGGCGGAGUGUGGCCCGCAGCUCGCUCGCGCACAUGCGUUUGUGAUGCAGCUGUAAACACUGGCCAGAUUCCUGUUAACCCUAUCUGGCCCGAGUCUGUCUCGGCUCGUAUAAGGACUCGGCUUGUGUAACUGAUGACAACCGAUUAAAUUCUUAUUUUAUCUAGUAAUUUGUUAGCUCCACGUUUAAUGAUAAUUUGAGAAAAUAUAUAUGGUACAACAGCAACAAAAUAAUAAAAACAUUUAGUGUGGAUGGUCGCAAUGUUUAGAUGCAAACAAAACAAUAUUAUUUAUAAAUGGAUUAUAUAUAUCAUCUAGGGAAAACAGUGUAAAAUGCGCUUAUUUUCGAGAUAGCACGCUUCCAUGCAGACUGUUUUUUUAAGCAGAAGUUUGGUUUCAUAAGAAACACAUGCGUGAGUCAACUCUUGGUCCAAACUCCAAUCCAGACGGUGGCGGUAAUGUUCCAAAAGCUGGUUGCCAACCGCUAUGAUGAUCACAAGAAGAAAAAGAAGUUUGGCGUUUCAAAACAGUGGAUUCCGGUCAGAAAGACACACAUGAGGAAGCUCGACUCAGCUUGGCUUGCAGACAGAUGAGGACGGUGAUUGCCCGUCAUACACCUAAAGAAAGAACAGGGGCAUUAAAGACACAACUAUAGUGAACGUGAUGAAGAAAAAUUAUUUGGAACAAAGAGGCUGGAGAAAAAACUGAUAUGAAGAUUUCAGAAAUUGAUGCAGCACCGCAAGUACCAUCACCACCAAUGACUAUGGCAGGAUCCUUAAGAACACCAUCAAGAUGCACAGAUGCUGUACAUUUCAGUACACCUAUAAACAUUUACAGUCCUUGUUCAAGUGCAGUUGGAGAUCAAGACAACUUAUUGCAACUCGUCAUGUCUUUCACGACUGAAAAAAAGUUUUAAAAUCAUGUGACGUCAUAAA